rnacentral:lncRNA from 1 species
GGCUCACAGGAGACCAGGACUCACUGCAGGGGUUCUGGUCAACAAGGACCCAGGACAUGAGGAAGACUUUUCUAGAGGGUCCUACAACUUUGGGCAUUCGGAGUCACGUGGAAGACACCAAAUCACCCCGUUGCAGACAGGCAGGUCUGCCCAUGCCCUACCGAGGUCCUGAGUUGCACAGAACAUGCCGAAUCAGCCCACUGGACACAGGAAGGUCUGUGCACACCCUACCGAGGUCCUGAGUCACGCGGAAGACACCAAAUCUCCUCACUGCAGACAGGCAUCCACCUGGUUCCACACUACAAAGAUGCAGAGGACACCAGACCACCAGACCAAGGCUUGUUUUGUGUCUUGCCAUUUUAUCUAUCCUUGAGAAUGGUUCAUGUGCAGCUGAGAAAAUAUGUACCCUGCAGCUGUUGGAUGAGAAGUUCUACAAAUGUCUGACAACUGAGAUGGACGAGCACUAGGAAACAUGAAGAUGCUCCGCGAUCUGUCAUUCCCCCAACCUGCAACCUUCUGCAACAUGAACAUGGAGCUGACAGACCAGAAACGAUGCCCAUACUUUAAGUUUGCACUCUUCCUGAUGCCCUGAUUUUGAGCACUGUUAGUAGGAGGGAACUCAAGCACUAGGUUCCAGUUUAUCAUUUGUAG